CAAAGUUGGAAGACCAUGACCCAGGCUAUGGCCCAUUCUUCCCACAGUUGAAUUUCCAAUCAUUUCUUCAAGCCGAUGGCGGUUCCUUCUUGAGGGAAGAGUUGAUGCAAGCUGAAAUUUUAUGGAAAUGAAACAAUUCAGUAUACCAAGUUUUCAGAAUAUCCUCGGCCUCAACUCUAUCAAGGGUCCCAUGAUGCCAAGCCUCACGUUUCGAUCGCGGGGCCGGAGGAGCAUUAAGUGACAGGAGCACUGUUACAACAUCAACAUGACCAUUACUAGCAGCUUCAUGUAAUGGAACAUGGCCUGGAAAGAAAAAAAAUUCAGUGUGCCUGAUUUGAAUGUUGGCUCCUCCCAUGUCAACCAAAAUUCUAGCUGUGCUAGCCUUAUUGUUUCUGCACGCAUACUGAAAAAGGACAUGAGUAGUACACAUAAGCGCCGUAACACAUCAGAUAGAUAUAAAGAUAGAAACUGUAA